rnacentral:rRNA from 1 species
UGCAAGUCGAACGGCAGCACGGACUUCGGUCUGGUGGCGAGUGGCGAACGGGUGAKUAAUAUAUCGGAACGUAUCCAUAAUGGGGGAUAACUAAUCGAAAGGUUGGCUAAUACCGCAUACGCCCUACGGGGGAAAGCUAGGGAUCUUCGGACCUGGCGUUAAUGGAGCGGCCGAUAUCUGAUUAGCUAGUUGGUGGGGUAAAGGCCCACCARGGCGACRAUCAGUAGCUGGUCUGAGAGGACGACCAGCCACACUGGAACUGAGACACGGUCCAGACUCCUACGGGAGGCAGCAGUGGGGAAUUUUGGACAAUGGGCGCAAGCCUGAUCCAGCCAUUCCGCGUGAGUGAAGAAGGCCUUCGGGUUGUAAAGCUCUUUCGCAAGGGAAGAAAACUUAUCCUCUAACAUAGGAUGAGGUUGACGGUACCUUGAUAAGAAGCACCGGCUAACUACGUGCCAGCAGCCGCGGUAAUACGUAGGGUGCGAGCGUUAAUCGGAAUUACUGGGCGUAAAGCGUGCGCAGGCUGUUUUGUAAGUCAGAUGUGAAAUCCCUGAGCUCAACUUAGGAACUGCGUUUGAAACUACAAGACUAGAAUAUGUCAGAGGGGGGUAGAAUUCCACGUGUAGCAGUGAAAUGCGUAGAGAUGUGGAGGAAUACCAAUGGCGAAGGCAGCCCCCUGGGAUAAUAUUGACGCUCAUGCACGAAAGCGUGGGGAGCAAACAGGAUUAGAUACCCUGGUAGUCCA